UGAGGAAUAUUGGUCAAUGGGCGUGAGCCUGAACCAGCCAAGUAGCGUGCAGGAAGACGGCCCUAUGGGUUGUAAACUGCUUUUAUGCGGGGAUAAAGGAGUCCACGUGUGGAUUUUUGCAGGUACCGCAUGAAUAAGGACCGGCUAAUUCCGUGCCAGCAGCCGCGGUAAUACGGAAGGUCCGGGCGUUAUCCGGAUUUAUUGGGUUUAAAGGGAGCGUAGGCCGCGUUUUAAGCGUGUUGUGAAAUGUAGACGCCCAACGUCUGCAUCGCAGCGCGAACUGGGACGCUUGAGUACGCGCAACGUUGGCGGAAUUCGUCGUGUAGCGGUGAAAUGCUUAGAUAUGACGAGGAACUCCGAUUGCGAAGGCAGCUGACGGGAGCGGCACUGACGCUUAAGCUCGAAGGUGUGGGUAUCAAACAGG
rnacentral:rRNA from 1 species